GCAGAGGGAGAGGGAGAGGGAGAGAUCCAGCAGCAGAGAGAGAUUCUAAUCUUUCUAUUGAUUUGGACGUCAUUGCAUAGUCUCUGUACUUACAGGUCAUGAAAAAGCAGCUGCUAUUCCUAGGGAAGGAAGUUGAUGUUUAUUCCUUCUGCUCUCCAUCAUUUAAGCUAUGCCAAUAUAAACAGUUUAGCCAAAAAAGAGCAAUGACGUCACAACCUUUUAAAGGAUACAUAAAUAACUAAAGCACCUUCUUACAUAGUCUAAUGAAAACUGAUGACAUGAUCCUAUCUGUACAA
rnacentral:misc_RNA from 1 species